rnacentral:rRNA from 1 species
UGGCGGACGGGUGAGUAACGCGUGGGUAACCUGCCCUGUACAGGGGGACAACAGUUAGAAAUGACUGCUAAUACCGCAUAAGCGCACAGGACCGCAUGGUCCGGUGUGAAAAACUCCGGUGGUACAGGAUGGACCCGCGUCUGAUUAGGUAGUUGGCGGGGUAACGGCCCACCAAGCCGACGAUCAGUAGCCGACCUGAGGGGGUGAUCGGCCACAUUGGGACUGAGACACGGCCCAAACUCCUACGGAAGGCAGCAG